GGGGUCGACUGGUUUUGACAGCAAGUCGAAUUGGAAGGUAAGCACGUCGAGAACUGGGACAAUUCUCGUAAAUAAAAGGUUCUAACAAUUUUACACGGCGAAAAUAACUACGCUCUAGCUGCAUAAUCUGAAUUAUAGUAAGAUUAGCCUCGUCCCUAUCAGAUAGGGAAGCAGGAUUCUCCUUGAAAGCCUUGGUUUGUGGCGGUCAAUCCAGGGGAACCGUAAAAAUAAACCUAGAUUACCAUAAGCUUCGGGUGGUUUUCGAAAUUAAGAAGAUAAGUUUUGUGUGGCUGUUUCUGGCCAAGCACAAAAUCGAAAAUUCAAUCAGGAAAUAAGCGUGUAGAAAAUCUUUUAGUUGCUUGUUUGGACGGGAGUUCGAUUCUCCCCGACUCCACAA
rnacentral:tmRNA from 2 species